UAGGGAAUCUUCGGCAAUCGGACGAAAGUCUGACCGAGCAACGCCGCGUGAGUGAAGAAGGUUUUCGGAUCGUAAAACUCUGUUGGUAGAGAAGAACGUUGGUGAGAGUGGAAAGCUCAUCAAGUGACGGUAACUACCCAGAAAGGGACGGCUAACUACGUGCCAC
rnacentral:rRNA from 1 species